rnacentral:rRNA from 1 species
AACGAACGCUGGCGGCAUGCCUAACACAUGCAAGUCGAACGAGACCUUCUGGUCUAGUGGCGCACGGGUGCGUAACGCGUGGGAACCUGCCCUUAGGUUCGGAAUAACUCCCCGAAAGGGGUGCUAAUACCGGAUAAUGUCUUCGGACCAAAGAUUUAUCGCCUUUGGAUGGGCCCGCGUUGGAUUAGCUAGUUGGUAGGGUAAAAGCCUACCAAGGCGACGAUCCAUAGCUGGUCUGAGAGGAUGAUCAGCCACACUGGGACUGAGACACGGCCCAGACUCCUCCGGGAGGCAGCAGUGGGGAAUAUUGGACAAUGGGCGAAAGCCUGAUCCAGCAAUGCCGCGUGAGUGAUGAAGGCCUUAGGGUUGUAAAGCUCUUUUACCCGGGAUGAUAAUGACAGUACCGGGAGAAUAAGCUCCGGCUAACUCCGU